AGGGGUGUAGCUCAGUUGGUAGAGUACUUGCUUAGCAUGCAUGAAGCCCUGAGUUCAGACCCCAGCAAAAUUA
rnacentral:tRNA from 1 species